rnacentral:lncRNA from 1 species
GCUGCUCCUGCUAACAUGUUAACAGGAAGAAAGAAUAAGGCUUAUCCAGCUGAACUGUGUCAUGUGACCAUGACAAUCUCGAAAAGGAACAAUGGAAGAAGCUAGAAAUAGAGCUUGAGUCAUUCAAUCAAUACUGUCUGAAACAUCAUGCUUCUCUGUACUACAGUCUUAUGUGAGCUUGCUUCUCCAGAGGAAGCAGAGAUUGAAAUGUCACACCAGCAUGAUCAAUUAGAUAAUGCAGAACAGAGAGGCAUUUGCUACCUGACAUUAAUACAUAGGAUAAGAAUGACUGAAUGGAGACAAUGGAAUAAAAGAUGCAAAGGAACUUCAGUUAACUCUUCCAGGCUGAAGAAUGCUGUUGGGCCUGGUGGAACACACCUGUAAUUCUAGCUACCCAGAGAUUGAGGCAAGAGGAUUGUAAGUUUGAGGCAAACUUAGGCAACUUAACAAGACCCUGUCUCAAAAAUAAAAUAGAAAGGACUGGUGAGAUAGCUCAGGGAUAGGACACUUUUUUAGCAUGCAUGAGGCCUUGGGUGCAAUACCCAACAUUGAAAAAAAAAAGGCAGUAAUAUCUAAACAUCACUGGGCACAUCUAGUGUUUAAUUAUAUACAGUGUUUGUUCAAUUGAGUGUCUUUUUCUCUUAUCACUGUUAACACAGCUUAUAUUGGUAUCAUUUUUCCAAUUAAUCUGAUAGACAAAACAGGAAGUCAGAGGUAGGAAGCUGCUCUGGGCUGAAGAUUCUCUUCUAUGAGCCUGAUCCUGACUGUGAUAACCUGGGUAGGAUGUGACAGUCAUAUCAUAUGUAAGCUCUCACACGCAAAUAUUAUUUUUAAAUAUUGUAGCACAUUCCCAGUUUGGCUGAACCCUUUGUAUGUCAGUACAUAAAGAGCUAACUCUUCUUUUUCCUAAAACAUAUUUUCCUGUUUGGUUUUAAAUUUUCUGGCUGUUCAAAGUGAUGUUAUAAUAAACGGAUUCAGUAUAUUCUCUUGUUCAUUUGUUUACAUAUUUCUGAAUGAUUUUUCUUCCUGGAAGUAGACCUCUAAGUGAAAGAUUCUGCACCCCUCACACUUUGAUAGAUAGGGCCAAAUUGCCUUUCAAAAAGCUUCCAACAGUUCAUGCUUUCCCACCAGUUAAGUGUCAGAAUGUCAUGCUUUUAUUUCCUCUUCGAAACAGUAUUUAUCCUCUCCUUUUGAUCUUGCCUAUCUGAUGCAUGCGAGUAUUGUCUUAGUUCACUUUCUGUUGGUUAUCAGGGAGACAGCACUGUUCUUCUGUACAAAUACUUUCUUGUCCUUUUUGAUACACAGUUGAGGACUGACUUGCUCAGCCCUAAAGCUUUCACUUCUUGCCGAUGAGCUCAUUAAGCGGUAGCUGUCUUUGAUAACAUGAGUAACUAGAACAGCUUAUCUGUCUCUUGGUUGUGUCAUUCUUUGUAAUAUCAUUGAAAUCUUAGCUUAAACCUUUUGCUUCCUGUUCUGGAGCUCCUCUAAGGCUGUGACUUGGGACAUCACAGAGCCCUGCAUGGCACUAAAGCACACGAUUUUUGGAUUAAUGGGGAGCUAACACUCCUGGGACAACUUUUAUAGGUAGAGGAUAAUGUUGCCAGAUAAAUUUGUCUUCUUUUCUUCCUCUAGGUGGAUCCUUCUGAAGUUGGUUCAUAAGACUAUUAUCAGGUCUACAGGGAUGAAUUGCCCAUAGCAGUAUCCAAUGCAUCUGCAGUGGGGUGGAAAACAAUACCAGAGGAGGGCUAUGUUCUGGUCUCAGAUAUCUGCAAGUGUGUUAUUUUGCAUUAUAAAAGGAGCUUUAAAGGAUUUUGAGAAUGGUAAAUUAUCCUAGGCAUCCUAAUGGGACCAAUAUACUUAUAAGAAUUCUCACACACAGAAGCCAGUUGAGUUAAAGGAAGUAAAAAGUAUGAUGUAAGUAAAAAGUUGAAUGAUAUGAGAAAGGUACCAUGAACUGAGGAAUACUGAAUAUUUUUUCCAGAAUCUUCAAAAAGCAAGGGAAAAGAUUAUACGCUUACAGUCUCUGGAAGAAACAAGGUUUGCUAACACUGUAAUUGUAGAUUGUAACACCCAUUUCAGACUUCUAACCUUCAGAAAGAUGAGACAAUACAUUUUUUGCCAUAUGUUGUGGCACAUAUCUAUAAUCUCAGCACUUAGGAGGCCGAGGCAGGAGAAUUGCCGCAAGCUCAACACCAACCUGGGCUACUUAGUGAGUUCAUAUCCAUCCUGAACAGCAUAGUGAGGCCCUGUCUCAAAAAAAAAAAAAAAUCCCCCCCAAACAAAGAACAGAACAAAACAAAAUACCACAAUGAAUAUGUUGGUAUCAUUUAGGUUUUCUACCAUGUUUGUGGUAAUAUGAUUUAACAGUAACAAGAAAAUGGCUGGGUAUGGUGGUACAUGUCUCUAAUCCCAGCACUCAGGAGUAUGAGGUAAGAGGAUUGCCUGGGCUAAAUAUAAUCCAAGGCCAGCAUAAACUACAUAGUGAGACCCUGUUUCAAAAAACCAAACCAAAUCAAAUGAACCAAACAAACAAAACCCCCAAAACAAAUCAAAAAAUCAAGGAACUAACAUAACAUCUGUAUUUUAUUUCCUCAUUUUCCAUUCUUGUUUCUUGGGAACACAUUCCUGAAUUAAGUGCUAAUACAGAAGCUUUGUCUCAGAGUCUGCUUUUGGCAGUCCUCCAGCUAAGGGUACAAAGUAAGUGGGCUGUUAUCAAUAGAUUCUAAGUUACAUUUAUCCUGUGGACCCGACCAAAGAAGUGAUAUUGGUUUAUCUUGGAUCUCAUCCAAGGUGGUCAUUGGCAGUGAUGGGAAACCUCAACUCAAAGAUGGUCAAGCAUACUCAGUGACCAAGGGCAUCAGGAGAAGUGGUAAGUGGCAAGCCAGAAUAUUCUAUUAUGGCUUGUAUCUAGGUGUCCC